UGGGGAAUAUUGCACAAUGGGCGCAAGCCUGAUGCAGCCAUGCCGCGUGUGUGAAGAAGGCCUUCGGGUUGUAAAGCACUUUCAGCGAGGAGGAAGGUGGUGAACUUAAUACGUUCAUCAAUUGACGUUACUCGCAGAAGAAGCACCGGCUAACUCCGUGCCAGCAGCCGCGGUAAUACGGAGGGUGCAAGCGUUAAUCGGAAUUACUGGGCGUAAAGCGCACGCAGGCGGUUUGUUAAGUCAGAUGUGAAAUCUCCGGGCUCAACCUGGGAACUGCAUUUGAAACUGGCAAGCUAGAGUCUCGUAGAGGGGGGUAGAAUUCCAGGUGUAGCGGUGAAAUGCGUAGAGAUCUGGAGGAAUACCGGUGGCGAAGGCGGCCCCCUGGACGAAGACUGACGCUCAGGUGCGAAAGCGUGGGGAGCAAAACAGGAUUAGAUACCCUGGUAGUCCACGCUGUAAACGAUGUCGAUUUGGAGGUUGUGCCCCUUGAGGCGUGGCUUCCGGAGCUAACGCGUUAAAUCGACCGCCUGGGGAGUACGGCCGCAAGGUUAAAACUUAAANGAAUUGACGGGGUCAUAGCUGUUUCCUG
rnacentral:rRNA from 1 species